CUAAACCCUGCAGCCUGCCACCUCUCACAAUGGGGCCACUCACACUGCAGCCUUCCUCCCAGACCAUCCUGAGGGGCCCACAUCCAACAGAAAUCCAGACUCCAUGGCAUCUGAACCCAGAACCCAGUGGAAUGUGGACAGGGCUCCAGCCCUGUGAUCUGCAGCUGCAGGGCCUGCCUCUCAGCCAAUCCCUGAGGACAAUGCAUUUUGCUGGAAGAUUUCAAAGCAUACCUUGGGUAACUGGAACAGAAGCCUGCUGGCACCUUUCCCCACUGCGGAACAGCAGAGAGGGAAACUGAAGCUCAGAGGUAGCACCUGGG
rnacentral:lncRNA from 10 species